GUUCUUAUCAAGGUAAGGUAUACGUAUAAAUGAGACUAGUUCUUAUCAAGGUAAGGUAUACGUAUAAAUGAGACUAGUUCUUAUCAAGGUAAGGUAUACGUAUAAAUGAGACUAGUUCUUAUCAAGGUAAGGUAUACGUAUAAAUGAGGGGAGAAGAUCAAGUCCGAUGUUGCGUUAGCUACCUAUUGACAGAGCAAUUCCAACAGCUUUCAAUCUGUUUGAGUGUAACUGAAAAAUAUUUGAUUGAAUUAUAGGUUUGGUUCUGGUUCUUUGGUUCUUUAUAAACCUUCUCCCACAAUAUACAUAAUUGAAGCAAACACAAAUACACAUUAUCCCAAGAAUUCUAUUGGCACAUGCACCACUGCAGUACUCUCGAGUGGUCUCUAAUUUAACCCAUCCUGUGUGAGUUCAUGUUUUCCCCUCUAUUCCUCCUAGCUCUGCUCUCUGGUUUCUCUCCUACCCUACAGUCCUUCCCCUUACCUUCAAGUGUCCUUCAGGGACCUUGGGCACUUGGCUUGCUGCUCGGCUCUGCUCCAGACCGGUGUUUCCUAUUGCUCCCAUUACAUAGCCACACAAUCUCUGUAUUUCCCCACUAAUGAGCCCCUCAGCCUGGCUGUCUGUCUAUCUGGCUGGCCAGCAGGCCACAGGCAGAUCAGUAGGGUCCGGACAGUAAUCAUGCAAAUAACUCAAACUGCUCUCCUUCCCACUCAAGUUAAUACUACUCCCACUGUUACUACUGCUGCUGCUGCUAAUAACACUGAGCCCAUGCACAUUCUACCACUUUACAUUCCUACCAUUACAGAUAAUAAUCUGACCAUGACAUUGUAAUAGUUUUCCCGCGAAAAGAGGAGCAAUUAUUUCAAACCACCCAGCGGCUGCUGAAACAGCUCAGAAGACAUAACUCUUUAUGUGUUUUAGGGACUCAUUUUUAGUCCGCUGGCUCUCUCUCUCUCACACACACACUCCCCUGGCUUCUUUCCAACUCCCUCUCCUCUCUCGUUCGCUCGUUUCCUCCUUCUCUCUCAUCCCCAUCUUUUCCAUUUUCACCCGUCCCUCUCCAAUUUCCUCUCUUCCUCUCCUCUCCCUGCUCUCUUUCUACCUUCUUUCUCCUGUUUCUCUCUUUCAUUGUUUCUCCCCAGCAGUCCCAGUUCUUAGCUGUUCCAGCUUGCUGUGUCAGUGUAUUGCUAACUCUCCCUGGUGUCGCACUCCUCUCACCCUGAGAUGUAUGUUCACUUAAAGCAUUGUUUAAUCAGGGAUAGUUUCUUCUCCGGUCCUCCUCUGUGCCUGCCGUGUCUCCUCCUCUCACCUGCCACUCCUCCUCUCCUCUCCUCCUCUUCUCUUGCUCCACAGCUGGCCUGACACCCUGUCUGCAGCGCUACACACACUGCUGCUGCUCCCAAUUACACCCCGCUUAUAGGGGACCAGCAGGACGAUACGCUAGGCCACACACACACAGAGAAAACCCACACACAUCAUGCAUGCACAAGCAUGGGCGCGUACACACGCGUGCACACACACAUCCUGAAACAGACAAUCACAAGAACAAGCAAACACUAAGUUAAAGUGUACAUACACUCAGACACAACUGUGCUAGGCUCCACUUGAAGUAGGUUAGGUUGCCCUUGUCCUGCUUUUGCCAUUCAUUUAUAUUCUUACGUUUUAUUCUGGCAAUGUUUUGGCUAUAUUCUGGCUAUGUUCUGGCUAUGUCCUGGCUAUGUUCUGGCUAUAUUCUGGCUAUAUUCUGGCUAUGUUCUGGCUAUGUUCUGGCUAUAUUCUGGCUAUAUUCUGGCUAUGUCCUGGCUAUGUCCUGGCUAUGUCCUGGCUAUAUUCUGGCUAUAUUCUGGCUAUGUUCUGGCUAUGUUCUGGCUAUAUUCUGGCUAUGUUCUGGCUAUGUUCUGGCUAUGUUGUGGCUAUAUUCUGGCUAUAUUCUGGCUAUGUCCUGGCUAUGUUCUGGCUAUAUUCUGGCUAUAUUCUGGCUAUGUUCUAGCUGUAUUCUCGCUCUAUUCUGGCUCUAUUUUGUUACAACCAUAGACAGUAUAACAAAGGUGUCCAGGCACAUUGCUGAAUCUCAUAUUGCCUCUGAGAAAUACUAUUCCCCCUUUGGCAGUGUUAUUUUACAUAGUCCUAUGUUGCAGAGGAUGGUGAGGUUUAUGAAUGAGAAAAAGAUCUAGCAUAUGACCGUGUCAUAAUUUUUUUGACAGUUCUUAAUAACAAAACAUUGUUUGAAGUUAAAAUGUCAAGUAAAGUCAGUUCUGGAACAUAAUCACUUUUGGGAAACAUUUAAUUUGCAAUUGUAUAAUCCUAGUUACCUUGGUUAAUAUGAUAAAAUAUAGUCAUUCUUUUCCAUCAAUAAUUACCAUAUUAUUACAGCAUAAGCUAUAAAUGUUAUGACCUUAUAAACAGAGGAUCUGUGUAACGAUAAUAUUACGACAACUAUAAACCUCUGCAAUGUAGUAAUUGUUCUGGCGCACAAAUGUGUGUGCGUGCGUGUGUGCGCACGCAUGUGUGUGUGUGCUUGCGUGCAUACACUUGUGUGCGCAUAUGUGGGUGUGUGUGUUUGCGCGCUUGUGUGUGUGUGUGUGUGUGUGUGUGUGUGUGUGUGUGUGUGUGUGUGUGUGUGUGUGUGUGUGUGUGUGUGUGUGGCGAGGAAACAGUAGAGCAGUAGACAUUUCCCGGCCGACAUUGACAAGAGGAUGCUUCCAUCAGAGUGCCCUUGUUCCUUUAAUUACUUCCUCCUGCUUUACAGCUCCGCUGAAUUUUAAUUAGCCCACGUGUUAAUUUCCAGUAAGCAUGGCCAGUUCAUAUUGUGAACUAAUGGCCAGGGUCUGGACUGAACUUCAGUACAAGCAGCUGGCAGUUCUGGGGACUUGGACUAUACGCUACUAUGAUAAUGCUGUGUAGGCCCUCUUCACAUAAACAUGCAAAACUAUAGACUAUGGCAAUUAUAAUCAGUUAAACUGUUUUCUAUCCACAUUGUUCCAUUUGAUUUGUUCCAUGUUGCAUUAAUUAUUACAAAAACACAACAACAAAAAAAUGUAUGAUCUAAAAUAAUUUCCGGGGGGGAGUCCAGCUGUGAUUUUAGCGAUGCAGUUAUUCAUUAUAUAUCUAUGUAAAAUGGAGAGCGCCUUGACUAUUCUACAGUUCCUGUGUUUCUGCAGACAGAGAGAGUUGUCAGGGUUCGGAUUGGGCUAUUGGAAAUUAAUGCAGGCACUUGUCUGUUUAAUUGAUUGAAACAAACCUCCUCAGCAUUGAUCCCUGUUCUAGUGUUCAGGCCGAUGGGCACGGCCCGGGGAAUAGGGAGGGGAAACGAGGGGCUAGUCUGGAGCAACAGAGAGGCCUGAGCCCCUGACCCUGCCAGGAUACAACUGGAUGGUAUGGAUGUCCCACAUAAGAGGAUACACGUUGGGUGUUUUAAUAGAGCUUCGUUUGAGUAAUAUUGUAAUUGCACCUGUAUGAAAAAUCUUCAUAUUCAUUUUCUUAGAUGCAGCCUGUGUCUUCUUCUCUGCUGAUCAAUACUUUGAUUGUGCUUAGAUCAGAUCAGACGUCCCACAGUCUCUCGUCAACAGACGUUUAAUGGCCGAUUGACUAAUUGACUUUUCAACGUUGUAAAUAAAUUAUGGAGAGGUCACAAGGUUCAGCACUAUGGUAAUUGAGUAAUUCAUGAAGCAUCUUUUUUUUCAGGACUGUUUGAAGUACUGUAUGUCUUUCGCCAUUACUCUUUUGAUACUUUGUUGUCAGAAGGUAGCCACAUUUCGGGUUGUUCGUAUAUUCAGAGACAAUGUGUAGUCUUUCUCCGAGGCAUGCUGGAAUACUCUGUUUUAGUUUUAUCGCCCAGGAUAUCUUAUCAGUUACCAUUUUAUUGACUGAUUGAGGGUCGUUAGUGGCAAUGCGUUUUGGGAUAGGUCGUGGCCUCUCCCUCUUAAAUCUGCCACAUAGACAAGACUGCACUAGUGCUAGGAGCAAUAGAAUAUCAAUGUCCAUGAUCUCACUAUAGAAAGUCCAGCCCCAGAUAAUGUGUACAUUACGGAAAAAUAUACACUGAGAACGAUAUAACAAAUAACAACCGAAUCGAUAGGGUGUUUGUUUGUGAUGUCAAUAGUAGGCAUUCCCCUGCAACCUGAGGACUUGGAGUUGUUUUCCAGCCUACAGAUAGAUAGAUGUUCUGUUUGAGCUAUAGUUCUGGAGGUUCACCAGAACUAUAGAGUAAUAUACAGUACAAUAGUGUAAUAUACAGUACAAUAGAGUAAUAUACAAUACAAUAGAGUAAUAUACAGUACAAUAGAGUAAUGUAGAGUACAAUAGAGUAAUGUAGAGUACAAUAGAGUUGUCCCGUCUGUGUCUUUGUGUUGAGGCGAGGAGACACAUACAGUCAAGUUCCAAAUGAUUGGCACCCUUGAAAAAGAUGAGCGAAAGAGACUGUGUAAAAUAAAUAGUACAAAUACUAAGUAUUGAAAACAGAAGUGCCAGUAGUCUUGACACAUUGUUAAACAAAAUAUAUAUCUGAGCAAUUGUUUCAAUCAUAUUAUAUAUAUAUAGAUAGAUAUAGAUAUAAAAUCAUACUAUGUAUAUAUAUAUAUAUAUAUAUAUAUAUAGCUCUGUAUUUGUAUUAUUUAUUUUAUCAAAGGUGCCAACAAUUUUUGACCUGACUGUACAUUACCCAGUACACUGCUAGGCUUGCACUAACUAUUACAUGAUAUCACACACAAUGUACUGUAGUGUACUAUAGUGUACUGAACUGUAGUGUACUGUAGUGUAGUGUACACCCUUGCACAGCACAGCACAGGACACUGCUACGAACAGAUUAAAGCUCCCACACAAUAACCCCCCCCCCAAGGCCCCUCUGCCUGACACCCAGAUACACCACUUUACUUAUCAUACCGCGCCAUACUGAUUUACACCAUAACACCACACUGACAUAUUGGGCCAUAUUGGUAUGUAACAGAAUUACACCACAUAACAUUACACCUUUGGCCUGUAUUAUACCAGCUCACAUUCUUCAGUCAGUACUGUAUUUCCGGUCAUCAUUUUCAAUGUUACACUUAACUGUAUCCUAUUGCCCUCCCCUUUGUGGAGCCCCAGACAGGGUUGUCCAGUCGGACAGCCAGCCAGGCAGGCAGGUUGACGGGAGGCUGUGGUGUGUGGGUCAGGCGGGCGGCGCUGGUUUAGUGGGCCCCCCAGUCAGCUGGCUUUGGCUGUCUCAGCACGGUGCCGCAGUCAGCAUUGUUGAAUAUUUAAUGUCCUGAUGAGCGCUUCCACCUGCUGACACAGGCAAAUGACAGAACAAUAUACCCCCCCAACCCCCCUGCCCAGAACACCAUCAUCAAUCCAGCCCUGCCUCGCCUGUUCACCGCUAUUCCCACCGCCGCACCUCCCCCCCUCCAGCGCUCUCUAUCUCUCCCUCGCUGCCAUUCUCUCGCUCUCUCCCAGCCCCCACUCAGUCUGUCCCUCACCUCUCUGUCUCUGACCAUACUACCGCUGACCAUACAGACACUUCCCUCGAAUCAUUCUCUAUCUGUAGGGCAACCUUUCCCUCUGUUCCUUACAAAUCCACCUUCAGCAGGCCAUAAUAAAGACACUAUGCCCACCCCAUCAUCACACCACACAUCCUCUACACUCACUGACCUCUCAGAGAGCGUGCAGUCAGGUCACCUCUGAUGUGUCGUUUCAUGCAUUUCAGAUCCAGAUUGUCUCUGCAGGCUAGGUAGACGUAUCUCUCCGUACAGACCAGUGAACAAUCAGUGACCUCUCUGGUUCCUAACACUUUGGGGCACCAAUGGUUACUGUCCUUUUAGAAGUUGAAAGAUCUCUGACCAACUCGGAUCUGUAGCUUUGUCCAAGAGAGUUCAGCAGCUAAAGGAUUAGAACUACACCCAGAUAAGGUUCUGCACGGUAACUGUACCCAAAACAGGCUUAAAGAACAGACCCGGCUCAGAACACAGGUAACAGUAUUCAAAGAAAGCAGAGGUUGUUUCCGUCCAUCCAAACCAGGCCAAGUGACUACAGUAUGCCCAAACCCGUGUAAUUACUUACAGCCAAACUCAGACGGACAUUAUGACCAUGCGCAGUCAUCAGACAGACAGUCAAUCAUCUGGUGUUAGAGCUACAGCGUCUUAGUCCCAGUCUUAGCUCCUUCCUCUCUCUGGCCUGCUGCUGAAGCCCAUGGUAUCCAUUAGUAAGCAUUUGUUCACUGCACCAUUUACUGUAAACUGCUGUCUGUGUGAGUUGUCAUCGCCCAACACACAAACCAGUUCUGAUUCCCGUUUUUUUAAAACGUCUUUUAAAAAUCAAAGGGCCCAAAAAAGUAUUCUGUGACCACUGAAGUAUGAAAUACAGCUGUUUCUUUUUAGAAAGGUAGAAAUAAAUGGGAUGAAUAAUAUCCUAAAAUCUAUUCAGAGCAGGUGAAAAGUGCUGACUGAUUCGCUGCACCUCCUGUACUCUUCUCUGCAGUACAUGUCGGAUUGGACUCAACCGAACCAGAACGGAGCGGAAAACUGCGUAUGCCUUCUCUUUAAAUACUCCCACAGAUACACACAUCCACAGGUACACACACACACAGGAACACACAAGAACACACGCACAUAAAAACAUAAAACAAGAGCACACACACGGACAGAAUGUACACACACAGGUGAAAUAUAGACAGUGUUCAGGCUCUUUCUAAGGUCAGGGGUCUCUGUAAUAAAUGAUCGUGGUUCUGUUGAGUCAAUUAUGUCAAAUCUUGGUCAAUUAGUUAGUUCUACGUAUUUAAACCUUUUCUUGUUCGACUGGUUUGUCUGUGUCCAAAUGCGCUGCGUUUGUCCCCUACCUGGGAUACAUACUUCUUUACAUUCCAUAGUUGCUCUUGUUCAUAUGGGCAUAUAAAGAAGUAUGUUCCCCAAGCAGGUAAUGGUCCUUUUUGCGCAUUGGUUUCGCUCCACCUUCUCUCCUCUCUCGCCCGAGGAGCAAAAAUGUUGAAUCAGGGUCCCAGGCCGACCCCACCUGCAACGACGGCCCCCCUUCCCCACCACAAGGGUCCCAGUAGGAGAGAAGAAUAGCCUCCCCUCUCCACCACCCCUACACUGAAAUCCCAAAGUCAUUGAUUCGUGUGAAUCUGACAGUCUGUGGUGUACAUGAACAAAUCUACUUGUUUCAGUUCAAUCAAUAAAUGAGCAGUGUUAGAGAUAUUGGAAAGGCACUCAUACAACACAGCCACCACCGUUUUGUCCCGUUAUGAGGUUCUAUUACUUAUCUGGUCACACCAUUAAGACUUUCGCCUUGUGCUAUUUUACACCUCAUUUCUCACGGAUAAACCUCUCAAAUUGUCCCAUCGCAAGGAAAAAGAAUCAACUACAUUCUGUCUUAUCAUCCCCCACUUCCACACGGCUAUAUUGUAUUUUUAAUGUUAAUAAGGAAAUAAUUCAUAUUUACAUUACCAUGAUUUUCAAUUUCAUUUUCUCACACAAAAAACCUGCAUUGCCAUAAAUAAAUGUUGCAUGGUCUGCAGAGUACAACAUGUGCUAGUUUGACAUAAGGAGCAGUUUCUUACACCGGCUACGCAGAACGGCACACGAUUCACCUUGAGUGUCACGCUUAGAGGUGCAGCUGCAGCGGAGGAGAAAGAGAGAGAGGGAGAGAGAAGGGGAGAGAGGGGGAGGAAGAGAGAGGGAGAUCUAGCGCUUACCUAGCGGAUAGCUGUCAGGUAGUCUCCCCGGGUUCAGACGGGCCAAUGCACCAAAGAGGAGUAAAGCAAUAAAAGGAGAGAAAGAAUGAAGAUGAGGAGGAAGUGCAUCCCCUGUUUUUCUUCCCUCUUAGUCAGUGUCCCAGGUGCUGCCUCUGCAGUCUCUCUUGCUCGCUCUCUCACACACAGCCACACACACACUCUCGCCCUCACUCUCUCUAACAACCCCCUCGAUUUCCCCUCACUCUUCCCCUCCCCUCCCUUUCUCUCUCUCUCUCGCUCUCUCUCUCUCUCCAACAACAAACUUUUAGUCCAAUGCAGUGCUCCUCUUGUCCCACUAGUCUACACCUUUUCAGGUACUGCUCUCUCACGCCCCCCCCCUCUCUCUCUCUCUCUCUCUCAUUGCCACACGUCCAUUACUUUCUCUCUCUCUCUAUGAUAUAGAGCCUAUACUUAACACUACCCACUCCUGUCCUUUGUAUCUGUGUAUCUGUGCUCCCCCUUCUCUCUCUUUCCCUCUGCCUCUCCCCUCCUCUCUCUUUCCCUCUGUCUCUCCCCUCCUCUCUCUUUCCCUCUGUCUCUCCCCUCCUCUCUCUUUCCCUCUGCCUCUCCCCUCUCUCUUUCCCUCUGCCUCUCCCCUCCUCUCUCUUUCCCUCUGCCUCUCCCCUCUCUCUUUCCCUCUGUCUCUCCCCUCCUCUCUCUUUCCCUCUGCCUUUUCCCUCCUCUCUCCUUCCCUCUGUCUCUCCCCUCCUCUCAUUUUCCCUCUGCCUCUCCCCUCCUCUCUCUUUCCCUUGGCCUUUCCCCUCCUCUCUCUUUCCCUCGGGCCUCUCCCCUCCUCUCUCUUUCCCUCGGGCCUCUCCCUGCCUGUCUCUCUUUCUGAUCUCUAAAGCUCCGGUAACAAUGUGGUCCCGGCAGGAUGAGCAGACAGUGAUGAGAUUGAAUGGCAGGCUAUUAUGGUCAGGUUUGGGGUGAGCAGACUCAGGGAUUUCUAGGAAACUCUACCGAAUAUAUGUACAUUACUGUAAAGGUAUGUGGUUUUUCCGCAUUUGUGUAAAUGUGUGCUUUUUCUGUGUCUAUCUCAGUGCAAUGUGUGUGUGUGUGCAUUUGCGUGUGCAUGCAUGUACGCAUGUGUGUGUGGGUGUGUGAGAGAGUGCCCUUCACCUGAGAACCCCAUUCACCUGAGUCCCCCUGCCCCCUCCCAUUAGCUUCUCUCCCUGAUCGAAAAGCCCUCCACCCCCCUGUACCUUUAGAUCAAUACCCAUCUAUAGGCAAAUGCACAAAGGCUGACUUGUUCUUUUAAUACAUUGAACCGUUGCUAACGUCAGUCUUCUAAUGAAGGCUCUGAGAGGGGUGUUAAGUAAUCCUAUUGGCGGGGAGCCUGUAGGUGAAGGAGUGUGUGCACGUUUGCGUGUGUGUGUUUAUGAACCCGUGUGUGAGCAGUGUGUGUGUGUGUGUGUGUGUGUGUGUGUGUGUGUGAGCAUGUGUGUGUGUGUGUGUGUGUGUGUGUGUGUGUGUGUGUGACUACACACACACACACACACACACACACACACACACACACACACACACACACACACACACACACAGAUACAGUAAACAGCCAGUGCUCUGCCUGAAUUUCCCUACAGACCAGUUUGGCCUCUGUGCUGACUGUUUGAAAACACCCUGAUUCAGUGACAGACAUGAGAAGACAAGGGGGUAGAGAGAAACAGACAGAAGGCGUGAGAAAGAGGGAGAGAGAGAAGGAAGGAAGUCCCUGUGCUGUUUCUGGUGGAAACGAGGUGCCAUAACAAGCAGCAGCCGCCACCGCGGGUGACUUACGACCCCGACAUGCAAUGCUCUCCUUCACCACGGCAGGGGCCAAACUGCCAGCGUUUUUACUUGUGAGCGGCGGCCAUUAGCCAUGACAAAUAAUUACAGCCCCCACCUAGAGGUCGCUCAGAGGAGGAGCAUCGCGGGGCUCGGAGAACAAGACAUUAUCUAUUCACCUAACAGGACAUGGAUGACUGAAGCCUGGGAUGGUAGGAAGCUAUAGGCAAUGUUUUAGGGGAUUUGAAUGCGCUGUCUAAUUCAGCAGAUUAUUUUACCUGAAUUAAUGAAAGGCAAAUGUUGUAAUGAAAUAUGUGUACAACUUCAUCAACUCUUCCACCCUAGGUGGCUAAACAGGAACUAUCUGGAGAGCGAAACGUACUGACAGAAGAAAAUAGGAAGCGAUAGUGAAUGGGUUAACUCACCAUCUACAAUGUUCUUAGAGGUAAGUGGAUAUGCGACACAAAUGCGACAAUGGGUGUGAGAGUGAGGAGGAGGAGCAGGAGGAGAAGGAGGAGGAGGAGCAGGAGGAGGAGCAGGUGGAGGAGAAAAGAGACAGGGGCAGCCUACAUUGACAUUGUGUUACACACACACAUGCAUAAUGUAUCCACUGUACUUCACCUCAUAAGCAUAGAAUUCCCCAGAGACAAAUACUGUGUGCAUGUGCAUUUGUAUACAGUUAUCUGCUGUGUGUAUGAAAGUGCUGGUUGCGCAGUAUUGUCAGAGUCUCCGCGCUCCUGUCUCUCCAUGGCAGGACCUGUGCUUCUACAGGACUGCUGCAUACAUCAGCCAAGCCCUCCCAGUAAUUAAACUAAAAGUCUCCAUCAUAAAUCACAGUGCUUCUUUCCCCUUCUCUCUCUUCCUCCCCUGUUCCCACUACCAUCCCUCUCUUCCUCCCCUGUUCCCCGCACCAUCCACCAUGGAAGGCAGGUUUGUGUAAAUCACUAUCGCCUGGGACUGGGAUAGUAACAGAGGGAAGGCAGCUUCUACAUCCCCACACCAUCCACACACCCUGUCCUGUAUUCACUCCAUUACCAGCCAUUAAACACAGUCUCAACCCUUCCCACUACACCUCUCGCCAGGGUUGAAGAGGGCUCACAAGUCAAAACACAGAUUAAUGGAAGAGCGUUGUGUAUUCAAGCCCCUGAACACCUGGACAAGGACAGACAGAAGCAGGUUUAUCUGUCCAAGUAUUCAAAUGAAUCCUGAAACCAACCUCAUUGGAUAUUUGUUGGACAGCUGCGUCUUGUUCUACAAGGCAAGGUAGAGAUUCAAACCCAACCCGUUUAGAGCGUGUCAGCGGGUCAGAUUCCUUUCAAACAGCUGCUUGUAUAUGUAUCACAACCAGCAACAGCCUGUCUCUCCAGCAGCACCUGGGUCACCCAAUCUCCCUCAGUACUAGACCAGGAGUCACUGUGAACCUCUCACACUCUGGUGCUUGACAGACAGCUGACCACCACUGAUUCCCCUGCUGGUAUCUGGUGUCUGAUAUCUGGUGUCUGACACCAUGGUAUUAGAGUAAAAUCAGCCGAGUCAAACACACGUCUGCCUAGAUUGGAACCUUGCUCCCAUCUUCGCCGCCUUCUCCUCCUCUCUCUCUCUAUCUCUCCCUACUCUCACUCCUCUCCUGAGAGUGACACAUGCGUCUGUCCCGUCUAUAGAUAGUCCAUUAGGGCCUGCUGUGAUAUUCCGGUCCCAUGACUCCCCUCGCUCACAUUCACUUGGUGUCAUUUAACCCCGCAGUGCCAGGAUCAGCCCACUUUCAACCGCUAAAACCUCACACCUGUCUCCUUCAAACCACAGACAUAGUCACAAGUAGUCCAUCAAGCAGUCGUAUCCAUGACAGUGUAAAGAAAUUACUCCUGAUGAGCUGUGAUGCGGGAAAAGUGACGUUAUUGCAGUGGAAGUGUGAAUGCUAGGAUGUUAGAUAAAACAAGAACAAGUAAAGCCAUUGAAAGUAAUUACGUGAAUAAGUUUAAUUUGAUUUAUAAAAUCAAUUCUAAACUGCACGGUUGUCCUUCAGAAUAAGAAAAAAAACAGCAAUAAUGAUAGCUAAUUUGAACAAAUUCACCCACAGUGAAGUAAAUGAAUCCACUAUAAGUGAACUAAAGGCAAAAAAUGAACCAUGCUGGUUUAUAUAUAAUGUUUCUGAUAACCGUCGACCUUGUAGAGAUAUAAAAUACUCCCUCUUCACCACUCUCUUAAGAAUAUAUGGCAGUCAUCCACUGGGGUUCACACAUUACAGCUAUACCCUUUUUGCUAUAACACUAAAGCAACUUUGACAAGAGGAGGACGAUGGAAUGGACAGCAGCUCAGCGCUCCGUGCCCUGUCGGAGCAACUGUCAGAAACAACUGCACUGAGAAGACAGCCGAGCUGUCAGACUGACACAGAAUGCACCCACACAUGCAUACACACUACGCAUGUACAGACAGAGACACUAUAGACAUACGCAUACAGUAUGUUGAAUGCACCCACACACAUAGAGCACGUACCGGUAUCAGGGUGAUCUGGCGGGGCGGCGGCCCGUGCGGUGUGGCUGCUGCAGGCAGAGUGUCUGUCUGUUCCCUGGGAGCUGAAUCAGCGACGGAGAGUUUAGGGAUGCAGAGAGGAGAGGAGGGUCAUGGGAGAUGUUGCUUUUCUCACACCGGAUGGGAGGAAGAGGAUGAGAGGAGGAAAAAAAGACCAAAAAGAACCAAUGGCAAGUACAAAGAAAAAGCCCUAUAUAAAAUCAAAAGACUUGAACCUUUCUUAUAAGAGGAUUUUUUAUAACCUGAUGAUGUGGCGUUCAAAUGCGUCAAACUCACGGCUGCCCAUCCCUCCCCACCUAACCAUGCAAAGUUUGACUGAGGAAGCUUAAUGAAACUGCAAUAGAGGGAUCAGAGAAUGUGGACUGUGCGCUGACAGAGCUGAAGGACAAAUUGAGAAGAGGGACGGAGGGAGGGAGAGGGAGAGAGAAAGAGAAAGACUGACUGAGUGAGAGAGCGCCAGAGAGUGAGUGAGGAAAGCAGAGGAGACACAAUAGAUGACAGGAUAAGUGCAAGAAAGAAAGAAAGAAAGAAAGAAAGAAAGAAAGAAAGAAAGAAAGAAAGAAAGAAAGAAAGAAAGAAAGAAAGAAAGAAAGAGGCUAUGUUUUGCCUCAACGGCGCAUUGAAGAGAUUACAUUUUCCUUUCUAACCUCUCAGCUGUCCAUCAUUUCCCCACAUCUCCUUCUCGACACUGACCCCCUAUAUUCCACAGCGCCACACAUCCUGAGGUCACCGCAACGCAGGGCCUGUAUCAACCUCCAAAGUACGGAUACAAAAAAAUGAAUGUGUCGAUCCCAUCACAGGGAGACUUCAGAGGCAAAAGGGUUGAGAAGAGAAAAAGUAAGCAAAACAUUUCUAAAACAAUACCCUGUCAGCUGACGAUGCUCUGGAGGAGUGGAUGAAGACAUAAGCAUUGAUUUUGAAAUGAAAAGUGGAAAGGUGGACUUCAGAACGCGACGGACCAUCUCUGGGAGAGAAUGGAAGGGCAGCGUGAUCGGAGUAACCCCCCACCGUCCAGGGGCUUAUAUACCCAGAUGCUGUGAAGCUGUUCCGGUGGAACAUUACUUUAGCUGGCGUCUGAAAUGGCCUAAGAGAUGAAUGCUUUUUCUGCGUUACCAGGUGGCAGGAGAAAAGCAAUGGAUACAGUCUACAGAUCCUCACACACUCAACACUCACUCCACUCCAGCCACUUUUUAAUCUGGGAGAGAAAGCUCUCUCAUCACAGCCAAAGUCUGGUGAUGAAAAAAGAGAGGGAAAAGAGAUGUCUCAAUAGAGGUGGAAGCUUAAAUGGAGGAGUAUGACUAUUAGUUUUGGUAAUGGUACUGGACAGCAUACUGCACGGCCUUGAAUGCCCUGGGGGACGAAGUCAAAGACAUGGCAGAGGCUGUGUACGGAAUGGCACCCUAUCCCCCUUCUUUUGACCAGGGUCCAUAGGGAAUAGGGUGCCGUUUCAGAUGCAGCCAAACAAUACUGUAUGUAUAUGUGUCAAGGUGGAGAAGCCUUGGGAAGCAGCUGGUGCCUGUCGUGCAGAGGUAAAUUAGCCUGGACCACAGAGGUAACGUAGCCUGAACACAAAAUGGACCCUCAGCUAUGUGCUGUUGGCAGGCCGUUCAGUUUCCCCUCUUAACUGGGGGUGUUGUCCGGCCAUUCUGUUCCCCCUCAAAAAAUCUUUGUUUAAAUAUUCCUUAUGCUAUAGUUAUAUUGUACAUAUAUAUAUUUUUUUUUGGAUUGAAUUAUUUUAUCAACUUUUGUAUUGUUUUCGAUAACUGUAAUAUCUGCUGGUGACCCAUGGAAUUGCAGGACUGAUUAUGGCAAGUCAGUUUAAAUUUGGCUUGGCUAGCAAGUUAGCUAGCUUGCUUAUAUGAUUUGAAGGAUGCAGCAUCACCAGAUCAACAGCAUCGGCUUUUUGGUCCCCUGCCCCAGUCUCUAGAGGCAAGUGGGGCUUUUCUGGACCACUGCUGAGGUGUGGUGGUCUUACUGGCGUUUUUACCAUCGCCGAAGCGUCACCCAGGUGGGUGCUACAUUUCAGUAGUGGACGAUCCAGCCUGAUCUACGGAGGAGGAGCUGUGACUAUCGAAGACAAGGAGGCUCCCGAUGAAGAGCUCCUUGGCCUGUCUGUCGGAUAUCUCUACCUCCCUGCCUGGCUGUACCAUCUAUGCUCCCUCCUCUUAAGAUACUUUCAUUCUGAACUGUCUUCACCUAAAGCUGUGGAAGACCCUCGUGCAAGAACUGCCAGAUCCCUACAUUUGCUUUGUUCAAUUGUUUUGUUUUUAAUGAGACUUUGAGAUUCUACUUGGAAUGAAAAGCACUAGAUAAAAUACAUCUAUUAGUAUUAUAAUUUUUAAACAUUGCAGCAGAGGACAGAACAGGCCACAGAGACGGAAAGUUGUUAGUGUUGCCAGACAGGGAGGCCCAUAUACUCAUUCUGGACCAGAUUUGACCCCUUCUGUAAUACUGUAAGGAUAACAAUCCAUUUGGUCUCGGAUCAGUUUUAAUGGUUAUGGGGCACUUAGUUUGGUGGAACCACUAAAAGCGGGUGAUGGUGCCAUUAAGUUCAGGGCCAGCCUAAAUGGCUAUCGCCAUGUAGCACUCACAUCUAUAGCCAUGAAAUGCUUUGAAAGACUUUUCAUGGCUCACAUCAACACCAUCAUCCCAGACACCCUAGACCCACUCCAAUUUGCAUACCGCCCCAACAGAUCCACAGAUGACGCAAUCUCUAUUGCACUCCACACUGCCCUUUCUCACCUGGACAAAAGGAAUACCUAUGUGAGAAUGCUGUUCAUUGACUACAGCUCAGCAUUCAACACCAUUGUCCACGCCAAGCUCAUCCCCAAGCUCAGGACCCUGGGAACACCUCCCCCUGCAACUGUAUCCUGGACUUCCUGACGGGCUGCCCCCAGGCGGUGAGGGUAGGUAACAACACAUCCUUCAUGCUGAACAUCAACACGGGGACCCUCAGGGGUGUGUGCUUAGUCCCCUCCUGUACUCCCUGUUCAUCCACAACUGUGUGGUCGCGCACAACUCCAACACCAUCAUUAAGUUUGCUGAUGACAUGACGGUGGUAAGCUUGAUCACCGGCGACAAUGAGCCUACAGGGAGGAAGUCAGUGACCUGGCAGUGUGGUGUCAGGACAACAACUUCUCCCUCAAUGACAAGCAAGACAAAGGAGCUGACCGUGGGCUACAGGAAACGGAGUGGCGAGCACACCUCAUCCACAUCAUUAGGGCUGUAGUGAAGUGGGUCAAGAGCUUCAAGUUCCUCAGUGUCCACAUCACUAAGGAAUUAACAUGGUCCACACAUACCCACACAGUUUGGAAGAGGACACGACAGGGCCUCUUCCCCCUCAGGAGACUGAAAAGAUUUGGCAUGGGCCCUCAGAUCCUCCAAAAGUUCUACAGCUGCACCAUUGAGAGCAUCUUGACUGGCUGCAUCAACAUUUGGUAUGGCACUUGCAAGGCACCCGACCGCAAGGCGCUACAGGGCGUGGUGAAAAAAGACCAGGUGGUGUCAGAAGAAGGCCCAAAAAAUUGUCAAAGACUCUGGCCACCCAAGCCCAAGCCAUAGACGGUUCUCUCUGCUAUCACACAGCAAGCGGUACCAGUGCAUCAAGUCUAUAACCAACAGGACCCUAAACAGCUUCUAAGACUGCUUAACAAGACUGCUAAAUAGCUAAUCAAAUGGCUACCUGGGCUACCUGCAUUGACCCUUUUUUGCUCUGACUCUAUGCAUCCACACGCUCACAACCAUAACAUGCCCCCCCCUUAACAGCAUUGUUUUGAUUUGAUUUGAUUAGGCUACUGGAAAUACUGUAUAACACUGACAGGGAGUAUGCCAUGAACCGUGUUAGAGAAACACACACAUGCACAC
rnacentral:lncRNA from 1 species